rnacentral:lncRNA from 1 species
AUCCUUUUUACAUUUAAUUUUCCUGAUUUAAAUUAUGAUUCGACAGUGACUCAAGAGGAAAAUCACUUUCCUAAGGGGUAAAUUCCCUUUUGAUCUCAUAAUUGGUUUUUUUUUUUUUUAAAUUUCUGUGUGUGUGUGGUAGUGGGAUAAAACCUAGGGCCUUCACCCUGAACUACAUCCCCAACCCCUUCUUUAUUUUUUAUUUUGAGACAGAGACUCACUAAGUUGCCCAGGCUGUGGUUCAACUUGCAAUCCUCCUGCUUCAGCUUCCCAGAGUACUGGGAUUCAAGCUGCGGCGACUUCUGAUCAACAAGUUGUCUCUGUUAAGCCAUUGGAAGCAAACAUCAAAGCAAAAUUCGUCAGAUGUAUUUGCCAAACCCAAAUACUUAAACUCCUUCCAUCCACUGAAAGACAAAGGCAAGUAUACACUUUCUCAUACUGGAGAUUCUUCCAGCAACAUCACGUUAACUCAGUUUCUAUCAACCGAGUAAGGCCAGGAAUCAUAAAAUCAAAGAACACUGUUUGGAGCAACUUGACAUUUAGAGGUAAAUGUCAGAGAAGAAAGUAUACUUCAUAUCAGAUGAGAUAUUCUGACCCAGGAGCAGAACAAGGUGGUCACAGCAGCUUUAUCAUUGCCUCCUUUAUCUUGAAUUCAUGGAAGAUUUAUUUCAAUGUGGUUUGAGUGUAACACAUUGCACCCUAAAUGCAAAAGAAUUGGUUUUGAUGGAAAUCUUGUCAGUUGCUCCUUCUUCUCAUGACCACAAGAUGUGCUUUCCUUUUUCAUAAAAUGACCUUGUCCACACAGCCUUUCCAAUCAUGGACUGGAAUAAGGAAACUUCACAAGC